UACGAAGGGGGCUAGCGUUGUUCGGAAUUACUGGGCGUAAAGCGCACGUAGGCGGAUACUUAAGUCAGGGGUGAAAUCCCGGGGCUCAACCCCGGAACUGCCUUUGAUACUGGGUAUCUCGAGUCCGGAAGAGGUAAGUGGAACUGCGAGUGUAGAGGUGAAAUUCGUAGAUAUUCGCAAGAACACCAGUGGCGAAGGCGGCUUACUGGUCCGGAACUGACGCUGAGGUGCGAAAGCGUGGGGAGCAAACAGG
rnacentral:rRNA from 1 species